ensembl:lncRNA
GAGCAGGGUCCAAGAUGUUAUCACGUGGUUCCCACGACUGCUCCUCUGGACUGUAGACCUCCCAGUCGGCCAGGUACUCGAGACGCGGACCUCCACUGCAUGAAAAGUGGGAUUUUCGCCAGUAUGCGGCACUGUAAAUUGUUGUGGAAUUUCAGGUUUGCGGCUGUUCACGGCAAUUUGCGGGCAACGCCGAAAACUGCCGUAAAUUGUCAGAAAUUGAUGUGGGCCUCCCUUGGCAGUUGUCCCCCCUUGACCCCCCUCCUCCUAAUUCUAGGGGAGGCUUUGACAUGUAAAUGAAAAUGCUGUGAGCUAUACAAAUGCAAAUCAGGGUCGCAGAGGGAGUUUUAGCCCAGGUGACAUAUUUUUAAAAGGUAAGAAAAUCUCUGGUACAAAUAGAUUAGGCUCAGUAGCCUAAUUAUAGACGCUUACAUUUUAGCUUGAAUUGAUUUAUUUAAUUCAAAUAUGCUAGAUUACUGUGUACGCCAUUAGCAAUGGCAAAUGUUAUGUAAAAAAGAUACACAAAAUAACUUCUUUAAAAAAUGAGUUUUAAUCAAGCAAUAAUGAGCAUUCCAUGCAAACAACAUUUGAAUCAGAAUGAGGGGUCUGCAGAGAUCACAGUCUCCUAGAGCUCAACUACAGUGCAUAGGAUCAGGACUACAGUGACCUUUUCUUUGGUCUUACUUAAAUGCACAGAGGAUGUAUUAACCACACAUGUUCUAGCAAUGCGCUCAACUGGCAGAAAUGAUGCUGGGUAUGACGUGUCUGUUCCCUGCAAGCCCCAAACUUCUAUUGGCUUUCCAUAAAAAUGUCUGUCCGGGUGGGGAUGAAGCCAGGAAAAACUUGUGCAAGAACAUGUUUAAAUGCCAUACCCUUUGACACAACAUUAACAACUAUAAACUGCUUUAUAAUGGCUGGUCGUAGUUCUGCUAGAGGGUCAAGGACGGGUUCCUCAAAACUGUUAGUGUUUCCACACCACUUAGCAUGAACAUAUGCUGACCUUUAUGCUCUGCAUCUAUCGAUUGAGUAAGUUACAUUCAUAUAUGUUACCCGUUUACAUGUCAUGGCAAAACAUUCAACCUAAGUGACACAAGGGUACAUCUGAUGAUACAUUGUCAACAUUGCAUGUAUGUCAGACUCAUCCAAGAUUGUCUGGUGGAAUGGAGAAAGAGGCACCACUGUACAGUUUUCUAGGGAAAGUCGUUCCGCUGACACCAAAACACCGCUUUACAUAAAGCAUAUCAGCUGUUUCAUUGCACGACAAAGUCCCAACCAUUUGUCUUCCUAAAAUACUGGUCCUUCCGUAUAACAAUAACCUUGUAUGUGAUUGGAGGACCCUUAGACUCCUCGUCCAAUCACGUGUGAGGUCAUAGGCAUGACUCGGACAGCAGUACUUACUUGACGAGCAUACAAACAGACACUAUAUUCAGAAGAACUGUAUCUCCAGUUCCUUUGUUUGGUUUUUGCUGGUUCGUGAAUAAUGGCUGGACGACGUCUCGCGUUCAACUCGCCUUCAACUCCUCUCCGCGGCCACCAACUUUCGGCCAGUCCGCAGACAGACGAGAAGAAACUGCUGAAUGGUCUCAGUGGAUCGUCUCGUCAACUCCAACAACAAACUGCCGAUAUCAACGAGCGGUUAGGGACUCUCCAGGUUGCUGUCCAUAGAGGAGAGGUUGGCGGCUCUGGAGGAACUGACUCAAAGAAGAGGAGACGGGCGCACAAUCCCAAGAUAGCGGAAGCGGUGUGCCGUCUUCACAACUCCGAGACGAAUUACAGGCGCUACGAACUGGAGCAAGGACUAAUCUCGCCUCAUAAUGAGGCGGUGACCUCGUAUUUGCUCCAGGAAAAGUCCAGAUUUAGACGACGUCAUUGUGUCCGCCUGUGAGACUAUUUUGAGACGGUGCGCAGGAGCUUCAGGUUUUCCCAGCCGGAACACUCAUUGCGGGCGGAAGCUGCGAAGGAUUCAGCGCGGAGUCGAGCAAGAAGAAAGAGUUUAUUUGCUGACUUUUUUCAGGUGCAUUGAUAAGAUGUGUUGUGUCCGUACGCAUCGCAAAGUACUGAUUCACUGUUGUUUUUACAGCUGCUGGAAUUGAGACAAAGUGUGCUGGCUGAUGAUGAGGUGGAACUCUGGAAAUCCACCACCGUAGAGCUCACGUCGGACAGAGAGGAUGGCGUUGUUGGCGGGGUCUCGGGGGGGAUUGUACGGUCGCCACACGCACACAAGGCGCCUGCACAACAGACCUGCCUCGGAAAACACGGCGCCAGUGACGGUCUACAACCCCGAGGAGGCAAACGGACAGUUUACUGAGCUGUAGUUUUUUAAACCGCCUUUACCCAAGUGUGGACAGAUCUUCACUUUGUAUGUAGUUGUUGUUUGUGUGUUGU